CAGCCGCCACGGGAAUACGAAGGGUGCAAGCGUUAAUCGGAAUUACUGGGCGUAAAGCGUGCGUAGGUGGUGGUUUAAGUCCGUUGUGAAAGCCCUGGGCUCAACCUGGGAAUUGCAGUGGAUACUGGGUCACUAGAGUGUGGUAGAGGAUAGUGGAAUUUCCGGUGUAGCAGUGAAAUGCGUAGAGAUCGGAAGGAACAUCUGUGGCGAAGGCGACUAUCUGGGCCAACACUGACACUGAGGCACGAAAGCGUGGGGAGCAAACAGGAUUAGAUACCCCAGUAGUCCCUGUCUCUUAUAC
rnacentral:rRNA from 1 species